rnacentral:rRNA from 1 species
CGGAUAAGAAAGCAGAUCGCAUGAUCAGCUUUUAAAAGGCGGCGUAAGCUGUCGCUAUGGGAUGGCCCCGCGGUGCAUUAGCUAGUUGGUAAGGUAAAGGCUUACCAAGGCGAUGAUGCAUAGCCGAGUUGAGAGACUGAUCGGCCACAUUGGGACUGAGAUACGGCCCAGACUCCUACGGGAGGCAGCAGUGGGGAAUAUUGGGCAAUGGGCGCAAGCCUGACCCAGCAACGCCGCGUGAGGGAAGAAGGUCUUCGGAUUGUAAACCUCUGUCGCAAGGGACGAAGAUGUGACGGUACCUUGUGAGGAAGCCCCGGCUAACUACGUGCCAGCAGCCGCGGUAAUACGUAGGGGGCGAGCGUUGUCCGGAAUUACUGGGCGUAAAGGGUGCGUAGGCGGUUGCUUAAGUUGGAUGUGAAAUACCCGGGCUUAACUUGGGGGGUGCAUUCAAAACUGGGCGACUAGAGUUCAGGAGAGGGAAGCGGAAUUCCUAGUGUAGCGGUGAAAUGCGUAGAUAUUAGGAGGAACACCAGUGGCGAAGGCGGCUUUCUGGACUGACACUGACGCUGAGGCACGAAAGCGUGGGGAGCAAACAGGAUUAGAUACCCUGGUAGUCCACGCUGUAAACGAUGAAUACUAGGUGUAGGGGGUAUGAACUCCCUCUGUGCCGUAGCAAACGCAAUAA